rnacentral:tRNA from 1 species
AACAAUGAAGUAAAAUUUAUUACAUUUAGUUUCGACCUAAUUUUAGAAUUUAUAUUCCUUGUUU